GUUGGAGGUCCAAGACUGGGGCGUUGGCUAGGAAGGGGUGGGAGGGCCUCUCUGGAGUCACAGAAGCCUCAUGCAUCUUGACCAGGACGGUGGAUGCAUGGCUUACAUUGGUCACAACUUGUCAACUUGUAUGACUGAAAACUGAACAUCACAUUGAAUUGGACUCAAAGGCAAGACCUGAGGCAAAAUUCAUGUAAGGAGGGAGUUUGGGCGAAGCUUGAGGACUGCUGCCCGGAAGCGUAGAUUCAAGUUGCCCUGAAUACACCUCCUAUUAGCAGCUGUUACAGAAGUUUGGCUGCUGUAACUGACUGGGAAGCUUAAAAUAACAGACAAUCAUCUCUCACAUUUAUGGGGACUGGGAAGUCCAAGACCAAGUUGCCAUCUGGGGAGGGCCUGUUCCUCACAGCGCCUUCCAGCUCAGGCCUCGUUUAUAAGGGCACUCAAGCCUUCCACGACAACGGGUCCUCAUGACUUACUCACCUCGGAAAGCCCCACCCCCAAGACCAUCACAUUGUGGGUGAUGGCAGAGCAUAAGGUGCCUUCCCCACAUGCUCGGGUUGGCCCAGCGUCUCACGCUAGCAGCUACGUGGAAUAGUUAUUUUUUCUGGAGAACUCUGGGACCCCUCUGAUGUCUUGGAGCACCCACACAGGCCGUUCACUGUGCACGCUGUGAGGCUGUCGUCUUGGAGCACCCACACAGGCCGUUCACUGUGCACGUGGUGAGGCUGUCCUCUGGGGAGUUCUGCUGUUGUAUGGGUUCUGUCUGUGUCAAUGUCCCAGCGGGAACGCAGGGCACACUAGCGUCAUCCCCAGAGGGCUUGGUAAGGGGACUGUUUGCAGAGACAUAGGCAGAGGGCUGGAAAACUACCAAAAAAGUGCAGUGUUCUGGACCUAAUAAUAGCAGAGCUAUUCUCACCCUGCCUCCUGCCAGUCCCUGCCAGGGGUCGCCAAUGGCAAAACAGGACUGGAAGCCAGAGGCCAUGGAAGCCCAUGGAUGAAGUCCACAGGCCAGCCUCCCCGAGAGCAGCCUGGACGGUCCGCAGGAGACGUCUCCUGUCUUAGGCGUCCCACGCCGCGUGCUCCUGUUCAGCCCUGCCGAGGUGGAAGCUUGGAGUGGCUCACGGUGGAUGCAUUGACGCUGCAGACGCCAGCAAGUGCUACAAACCAGAGCUGGCCUUUAACUCAGACUGAUGGAGAAGGUGUUAAUAAUGCAGAUUAGACUUAAAAGUGUUGAAGCCAUUGCACUGUGAACAGCAAAAAAAUUGAAGAACUCUUCUGGCAUUUAAAAACAAUUACUCAGUUCAGCAGAGAAGUCACUGACAAACGAGAUCACACUGACUGCUUUGUCGUUUUGGUUUUGUCUUACUCAUUAAUGCAAAUAAGAACAUUCACUAGCAUCUGUGUCGGGCCUACCCUCCCUGGUCAAAUACAGCUACAGUCUCCCUGCAGAAACGAGUUUUCCAGAAAUGAGCCGAUGUUUUCUGCGAGAAUCAAUUGGUCAUAUACAAUUUACAAAAAUGAGUACUGUAUACUAUAUUUGUAAACUGUACACUGCAGAUGCUUUAUUUCACUGAAAUUUAUAAUACACUUAUCCAUGUAUAUGCAUGCAUGCAUUUUUGUUCCUGAGAUCCAGCUGUGAAAUGUUUACCAGCACAUAAAUUACCAGCACAUGCUCUUUUUUGUUAACCUACUAGGUAAAAUCUUCAUUUAUUACAUCAAAUUCUUGUAGUUUUUGUAUUGCAAUUAUGCAGAUAUUGAUUAUCGCAGUAUUACUGCAAUUAUACAGAUACCACAAUUUCAGAUAUUGAUCAGCGUGUUCAGUUGGUUUCUAAGGAGGUUUACUUACCUCAUGGUACACCUAGUUUGCAUAGUUUGAUUAUAUUUAACUCUUAUGCUAAUUGGGGGAAGUCAUUGAUUUAUUGGACAGAUGCACCUGUGGUCUUCCCUGAGCACAUCCUGGCCAAGGAUGCUGCCCCCAGGAGAUUUGAGAAGUCCUGUAAGGAUCAUAUCAGUAUUUUCAAAUACUUAUAGAAAAGCCAGAGGGAUUGACCCAGAAUUACCAAUAUAAGCUUGACCCUGAGAUAACAAUGCCAUUUUAUGUUUGCAUGCAUAAAACCAAUGCAAGAGGCUGAUGACUCCAGAUCCCUUAUAUAAGCCAAUAAAAAGUAGUUUCAUUUUUUAUUUCAUUUAAAAAAGUGUACCAUUAACCUAAAGCCUGCUUGUAAAACCAGUUUGUUUCUGAAGCAUUAGCUCAAAGCUCACUUGCAUUUGGUGAGAAGUCCCUCACGUGUGGCUGCCCUGGCUGGGAGCUCUGAGCUCUGGGAGCCAUUGGAACUGCUAAUCCCACCAGUGCCGUCUGAUUCCCUCUGCUCUAAUGGAGGUCUUUUGCCGGGUAUCCAGUGGCAUUUUCUGGGCUUGGGAGUCAGUAAUUCCCAGUGAUCAAGUGUCUCUGCUCUGAAAAUGCCUUUCUUUGUGAUAUGAAGCUGUCAGUGAUGGAGACUGACCUUUUCAUAAGUCAGUGAAUUUUCUUUCUCUGAGUCAUUUUAGAGAGUGAAUCUGAACUCUCCAGUCUGUCCUAAGAAGACAUUAAUUGGAGCAGGCAUGGAACCUUCAGCUUUCCCAGUCACCUGCCGGGUUACUUGGCUUAACCUGGGAAUUAACCAGUUAAUAAGGUUGUUGAAAUGGAAAGAAUCCAGGAGGCUGCAGUGUGAGGCUGAUUUGCUGUCUUUAUUAAGUGAGGAAAUGAGAAAUGGGAAGAAUCCAGGAGGCUGCAGUGUGAGGCUGAUUUGCUGUCUUUAUUAAGUGAGGAAACGACAGCAAAGCACUUCUAGGCUUCUCACAGCUGAGCACACGAAGACUAAGCCCUCUUCCCGCCGUAGCCAGUGAGGAGAGGAUCCCUCUUCCCAAGCCCCCUCAAGCAGUGGCUCCCGCUCACUGGAGGCUGGAGUUUCUAGGGCUUGUCCCUGUCCAGAGCUGCUGCCUCAGGUGUGAGGGUGACUGCCCAGCCCCCGCGCCACAGGCCCUCCUCUCACCCGGACCUCAGGACCAGUUGGUAGGCCCCAGGCUUCCACCUUCAGGGGCAUGGGGACGCUGGCCCCUGUGUCCGCCGAGGACGUCCUGGCUCCUUUUGGGGGUCUCUCCUGUCAGGACAGGUUCCGUGGGGUUGGAGGGACUCAGCCUGUUUCUGUGCCAUCCGCCUUUAACGGCCCAGAAACGUUAGUGACUGAGAGUAAAAUAAGGUCGACUUCACAGUUUCUUUCUCCUCAGCAGUGUCUGGGGGCUGGUCCUCAGCCAUGACCGCCGGCCCUGGUCUGUCAUCAUCCUGAUAAUUUUCCAGAACUCCACCUGCAGCCGUCAUCCUGGGCGGCCCUGCUCCAUCUGUACCCUCUGCCCUGCCCUGGUCCUGGACCUGCUCCGCUCUGCAUUGCGCUCUGCGGGACCUGAGAGGUUUCUCAGCAGGAGCUGAAUAGUGUUGAAAAGGCUUCCAGCCCGCACCUCAGUGGGGCACUUUUCUUCAUGGGACAUGCGGGGUUGUCUGGGCUGGAGAACACAGAUUUGGGGGCACUCCGGAAGGUGGCAGAAGGUUGGCCCUACACGGGACCCAGUGGUCAUCUCUGCAAAUGCCGGGGCUGGGCUGUUCCUGCCUCAGAGGCCUCCCUCCUCCAGAGCAGGGGUGGAGAAAUCAGCCUGGAGAGCCUCACGGCGCAGGAGGGAUUUGCCGGGGCUGCCUCUGCAUAGAGCCCCCUGCAAACAGAGGAGCUGUUUUAUAGCACUGGAUUUAGCUUGCAGGGUCCUGGAACACCUAGAGACACCAGAGGGGGAGACCGCAGAUGAAGACCUCCUGGACGGCCGGGCAACCAGUGGCAGUCCCACGAGCCACGGGGCCGUGGCCAGCCUCCUUUCGGGACACAGUCCAGCCUGGAGGGAAGGAGGGGACAGGGGACCUUUCUGAUUCUUCUUUUUCCUUUUCCUUUGGAAUGAGAAAACAGCCUCUACGUUCUCCCAUUCACGUCUGUCAUCAGCUGAAGGAGCUCUUCCCCUUUUCCCCACUGACUCUGCACCCUCCACGGGGACAGCCUUGCUUUCGGGGCACAAUGAAAGAAACAUGACUGGAGACAUUACCAAGACCUGUCACUUGCUACCUUCUCUUUCUGAAGCCGUAAACAUGAGGAAAGACUCAUCGUUAGGUUAUUAUGAAUGAUGGACCAGCUUAUGUGUUUCAAUGAAAGCUAGGCUAUCACUGAGCUUGCUGGCUUAAAGCUGUGUGAGCCCACUGCUUAAUUUUUGGGACACAAAAGGUCUAGAAAUGUCGCCUGGCCUUUUCCAGUAGAGGUUGGCCCAAGAGCAUGAAUUUUCUGGCCAGCAUUUCGUUUCUUUUUCCUUCACGUAUGUUGCCAGCACUCAGGGCCUGUGGACCUGCCUUCUGUGCAGGGUGUCUUGUCUUUCGGGGCCGUGGCUGCUUCCGUAGGAGGCAUGGCAGGUGCCAGCCUGGGGCUGAGCUCUCCCCACGUGGAGCUCAGGGCCUCAGAGGCCAAAGGCACAUCCCUCAGAGGGCCUGGAAAUGGAAGGCCGGGCUGGGUUUACGGCACACCCAGGCCGGGCUCUAGUGGCUCAUGGUCACAGCCUGUCCACACAGCAUGGCGCUCCAGAGAAUGCUCAGAGGCUUAGGCUCAGACAGACAUGAAUUCACGUCUGAUGGGCGGAGCACCCGUGUGACCAUGGCAGGUUGCCUCCUUUUUAUCUGCAAAGCUGUGGCAAUGAUCCCCACCUCCAAGGACUCCAGCGAGGCACAUGUGAGACGCUGCAUGGGAAGAGCGUCCUGCAAACCCGGCCAGAUGGCAGCUGCACCGUCCCUCUGCCAGGUGUCCCUGGAGAUGCCUGCCUACCCAGCUCUGUUUCUGUUCACAUCUCAGUGUGACAAGCAGCCUGGAAGGGCCAUGCUCGAAAGGCUUGGGCCAGGAGCUCUUACCUGGUGAGCACAGACUGCGGCUUCCCAGACACCAACAGGGGAGGGGACAGAUGUUGCGCCAUGCUACGCCAUUGACUUUUCUGCAACUGAUACGAUGGGAAUAAUACUCCACUUCAGUUCACAGGGUGGGGGCAAUAGUGAGUGAGAGCUGGACAAGCCAGGGAAUAUUGAGAGACCAAAGACACCUGUUGUGGAUUUCCUGGGCCAUGAGAGCCGCCUCUUGGACGUGCAGGGUUGACGUAGUCAGCCACUCUUCUGAAACAGCGGCCUGGGGACCAGGCAGCCACGGUGAACCCUGGUACAUCACAGAGGGUGCUGACAUGGGCUGUACUGUGGGAGCUGCUGUGUAAUCAUUGCACACUGGGCAGUGGUGUUUGGCAUUCCCUGUGAUUACGUUCAGCCACCUAGACAGAACCCCAAAUCACGGUGGGUGAAACAAGAUGGAGCGCAUUUUCUUCCAUGCACAGGAAGCAUGGCAGCUGGCACUUACAGCCAGCGUGAAGCUCCCAGGGGCUCCAGAGCCAGGAGCUCUCUGCUCCUGGGCCUCACAUCCCUGCUCAUGGCUUCCAUGCUCCCUGCCAGCGUGGCUGCUGGAACUCCAGCCUUCUCAUCACAAUGCGUACAGGGAGGCUUCCAGAAGCUCUGGGUCAGUAUUCCGGCGUGCAUGUCCUCCACCCUAACGCACUCACCCACAUGCGCCGAGCAAAGUUGGAGCGGGUGGAGAAGGGCCUGGCGGUGCAGAGGCCCCAGGAUUUCUGGACAGGGCAGCUGUGGCUGCAGCAGGGAGGUGCAGUGCUGCGGGGAGGCGGUUGACAGCUGUCGCCUUUUGCCACUUCUGAGCCCAGCCACCAAAUUGGUCCACGUCUCUUAGAAAAUUCUGUGACAUGGCAGAUUCAUUGACACUCCUGGUCAUAACUGCUUCCCUUCUCCCACUAGACCACCUUCCCUCCCCAGCCCCCUUUUGGUAGCACAAAUACAGCUGCUGUGUGUAUUGGAUCCAGCAGGCGUGGAUCCAAUUAAACCUACACUAUUUGUUUCACUUUUCUUCAGAAAGAGCCUAUGAAAUAUGAGUUUCGGGGGCAAAGUUUUUAUCAUCAGAGCUGUUCCUUUCCAGCAGACCUUUCAGUUCUCAGCAGCAGCCCUUCUUUCUGGGGUAGGAACUGAGCUGGUCUGUGGGAUGCCCCGCCUCGUUCCAAAUGGGGUCCAUCCCUGAGACAAAGGCACAUGAUACAAAGCAAAGCCGCACAAACCUGCGGGAAUCAGAGUGAGGGAGAUGGAGGUGGAACAGCCACGCGGCCCGAGGAAGCAGCUACAGAAUGAAGUCUGUUAGUUCCCAUUCAGGCACCAGAGUGGGCCACACAUUUGCUGGUAGCUUCUAUCGACCAGUGCAAAAAGGCGACCGAGGUCUGUGAUGUCCCAGAGUGAACAUGACAGAGCGCAGGGGACACUCGGGCCUGAGCCCCCUGCCACCAAGGAAGAGGACCUUGAGGAAGGCAUGGGUGCCACCUGUCCACUGCACACACAGCCCUUCUAACGAACACGGACCCUCACGGGGCCCGGCGGGGCUCAGACACCGAUUCUAACACAGACCCUCACGGGCCCCCGCGGGGCUCAGACACCGAUUCCAACACGGACCCUCACGGGCCCCGCGGGGCUCAGACACCGAUUCCAACACGGACCCUCACGGGGCCCGGCGGGGCUCAGACACCGAUUCUAACACAGACCCUCACGGGGCCCGGCGGGGCUCAGACACCGAUUCUCACACGGACCCUCACGGGCCCCGGCGGGGCUCAGACACCGAGGCUGACACACUGCCCUGUGCACACCUGCCUGGAGCCGGUGGCGGGACCCAGGGAGAGACAGCGUGUCCUCCAGCGUCUCCCCAGCUCCUCCGUGGUCAGUGGAGAGUCCAUGGGAACGUUUGAGGCUUUGAUCCUUGGCAAGAAUAUUUUUUUUUUGAGAUGGAGUCUCACUCUGUCGCCCAGGCUGGAGUGCAGAGUGGUGUGAUCUCGGCUCACUGCAAGCUCCGCCUCCCAGGUUCACGCCAUUCUCCUGCCUCAGCCUCCCGAGUAGCAGGGACUACAGGCGCCCGCCACCACGCCUGGCUAAUUUUUUGUAUUUUUAGUACAGACAGGGUUUCACUGUGUUAGCCAGGAUGGUCUCAAUCUCCUGACCUCGUGAUCCACCCUCCUCGGCCUCCCAAAGUGCUGGGAUUACAGGCGUGAGCCCCCGCGCCCGGCCGGCAAGAAUCCUGCGUGCGGAUGUUAAACCAGGGGCCAAAUGCAGCCAGGCUUGCACAGUGGGCUUGUCUUCAGCAAGAUGGGGGCUGCCUCAGAAUCACCAGGAACGUUCGAUAAAAAUGGAGACUUCCGGAACCUGCCCUAACCUACUGAACAGUAUCGUUGCUGGUGGGUGCCCUGCAGUCUGCAUUUGGCAAACUGGCAUAGCGAGUCCCAUGCCGUGUCGAGCCUGAGCCCCACGUUUCAUAAGGGAUUAGGGUCACUGGAGCUCACGAGGCCGCACCUGUUCCUGGCUGGGUGCGCUUGGGCACUUUGCCCGUCUACGCCUGGAACUUCUCUGGUGUAAACUGGAAUAAUAUCUCCUUUACAUGGCACAGAACUAAAGAUUCUUUGAGUUCCAGGUAAUAAAAACCAAGGCCAGACUAAAUCAGACAAAAUGACAUUUAAAACAUAAUAAAGACAGGAUUGCAGCUGACAGUGGAUCUAGAGAUCCACAGUUCACUGGGCCCCCACCCUGCCUGUCGCUCAGAAGUCUCCCCUCUGUGUGGCUUCACUCGCAGGCCGCUCCUCUGCACGGAGCAGCAGGGUGGCCGCCAUCAGCCUGGUCUCAUCUGCCCUCAGGGCUGAUGGUCCUGGACAAACAGCUGUCUCUCUGUUCAUCAAACUUGAGUUCAUAGCCUUCCAGAGGUGGCUGCAAAGCAGGCGGUGUGCUCACCUGGGCCGAUCACACCUCUGAGGGACCGAGCGCUCUGAGGACGGUGCCCCAGGUCACACCCGUGAGGGGCACACAUCCCCUGGGCUUCAGAGCAACGCAGCUGUGUCCUCUCCACAAGAGACACAUGGCUCCAGCUCCACACCCGAGCACCUGCUGUUUACGGUUUGUGCUGACCGGAUGCUGUUUCUCCUUCCAUCUCCACCUGCAAAUGUUCUGCUGACCCUCAGGCCGGUUUGAAGACCAGCACAGCCCAUGUGAGCAGGGCACAGGGCCCCAUCCUGAGUGGCUGGCCUGUCCGGGGGAGGAAGUUCCACCCCACACCCACCCCACCACCACAGGAUGUGCCCAGAAGGCGGAGGGACUGGCCACUGUGGGGGCUCCCAUGUCCAGGCCGGGCCUCCUCAGCAUAAAAUCAGCUGACAGCAGCCUCAACGCGCCACUGCCUGAGAGGACACCGCCUCUCCAAACCUGGGAAGAAGGCAGCCACGCCCUGGGGAGGGAACAGGUGGAGGUGGGUGCCAGGACUAGCCAGGACUUCCUCCCAAAUAUUUAGAAACUUGAUUGCAAUGAAAAGAUAGCAUCACUGAAUUAAAGACGUCAUUUAUUAUGGAGCUGAGAUUUGGUUUGCCCAGCAGCUUAAAAC
rnacentral:lncRNA from 1 species